rnacentral:tRNA from 1 species
GCCCGGGUGGCGGAACUGGCAGACGCCGCCGACUUAAAAUCGGCUGUCCCCCGACGGACGUGCGGGUUCGAUCCCCGCCCCGGGCA